rnacentral:snoRNA from 1 species
AAGACUAUACUUUCAGGGAUCAUUUCUAUAGUUUAUUACAAAUUGUUGACUAAUCAUGGACCUAAAGGCAAGAAUAUUGCAGAUGAAGAUUGGAGUCUUCGUUUUGGAUAAAGCUAGUAGGUCUAUUUUAGGUAU